rnacentral:rRNA from 1 species
AGCUUGCUUUUCAAAGUUAGUGGCGGACGGGUGAGUAACGCGUGGGUAACCUGCCUCAUACAGGGGGAUAGCAGCUGGAAACGGCUGAUAAAACCGCAUAAGCGCACAGCAUCGCAUGAUGCAGUGUGAAAAACUCCGGUGGUAUGAGAUGGACCCGCGUCUGAUUAGCUAGUUGGUGAGGUAAUGGCCCACCAAGGCGACGAUCGGUAGCCGGACUGAGAGGUUGAACGGCCACAUUGGGACUGAGACACGGCCCAGACUCC